GACGAACGCUGGCGGCGUGCUUAACACAUGCAAGUCGAACGGGAUCCAACGGCUUUUUGUUUUUGGUGAGAGUGGCGAACGGGUGAGUAACACGUGAGUAACCUGCCCCCUUCUUUUGGAUAACCGCAUGAAAGUGUGGCUAAUACAGGAUAUUCCAGGCUGGUCGCAUGAUUGGUUUGGGAAAUGGUUUGGUCUGGUGGGGGAUGGGCUCGCGGCUUAUCAGCUUGUUGGGGGGGUGAUGGCCUACCAAGGCGGUGACGGGUAGCCGGCCUGAGAGGGUGGGCGGUCACACUGAGACUGAGAUACGGCCCAGAAUCCUACGAGGAGCAGCAGUGGGGGAUUUUGCACAAUGGGCGCAAGCCUGAUGCAGCGACGCCGCGUGAGGGAUGAAGGCCUUCGGGUUGUAAACCUCUUUCGCUGGGUUGAAAGGCCAUGCUUUGGGUGUGGUUGAUUUGAACUAGUAAAGAAGUACCGGCUAACUACGUG
rnacentral:rRNA from 1 species